ACGGCAAAUCAGUCUAUCGCUUUUCAUUAGAAAAGAGGAAAGUCCGGGCAGCACAGAGCAUCGUACUUCUUAACGGGAAGGGUUGUCACAAGGAAUUGCGACAAUACAGCAAGUGCCACAGAAAACAAACUACCUCGGCUUGCUGAGGAAAAGGUGAAAAGGUGAGGUAAGAGCUCACCGCUUGGGCAGUGAUGCACAGGGCAGGGUAAACCUUACGAGCUGAAAGACCAAAUAUACCGGGAUCUGCGCAAGCAGAACGGGCUGCUCGCUCGUCUCGGAGGGUAGGUCGAUGGACGCUGCGCGCGAGUGCAGCGCUAGAUAAAUGAUGGACACCAAAGCUGCGUGCAGCAACUGGUACAGAACCCGGCUUAUGAUUUGCCAUUUUU
rnacentral:RNase_P_RNA from 1 species